GUCUCAAACUGAAAAAGUAAAAAUAUUUAUAUAUAUAUAUUUAAGAAAUUUAAAAAUUAAUGGCUGUAAAUUCAAAGGAAAUUCUAGGCUUCUGAAGGACAGUAAAUUCAUGUUGGAAAAAAGUGAAGCUUCUGCAGGUGGGUGUGGCUGAGGAGAGGAUGUUUAGGGCUGAAGCCAUUCAAGAUACUUUAUUCACAAAAGCAGCAAACUCUGGCCAAGUGGCACCUUUAAAAUGAUCCAUGGAGGGAUUUUUCAUUUUGGAAAGCAGGUUUAUUAGUGAAAUUGUUACAAGUAUUAAUAUCUGGAAUGUUAUUUUCUUGCUAAUCAUGCUGUAAUGGGUUACGCUGGGAUAAUAUAACUGCUCCGAGUACAUAACUUACCAAAGCUGCCUACCUCCAUGAUGACUUAUGGCUUUGGCCCUCAUUAGCUCCAUGGUUGCACUGACUGCUGUUGAGAGCCACAGUAAGAGUCUUGUACAAGUUUGAGAGAGCCUCAAGUUUAAUGUCAUAAAUAACUAUAGAAUGAAACAGUCAUUGCUUUUUACAGAAACCCAAUAAAACUGCUUUAUAGAGAGAGAAUAAGUGAUUGUUUACCCAAUAAAAGGAAUGCAAGCUUGACACCUGCAAACAUUGGGACCACUAUUAGCUCUCAGCUCCACACAUGAUAGGAUUGCCUUCAAAGACAUCUUCUCACUGUCAUAGGCCAUUCUUUCCACCUGGCAAGUGGAGAUAGGAACAAGUCUUGCAAAUCUUAUUUAAAAGUUGCAGCACGUAUUGCCUAAGUACACUGGACUAGUCGCAAUGCCACCAGCACACCAUUUUAUUGCUGGCUCUUAUGCAGGGGAUUCCCACCCUGUGCACGCUACAGAAUGCAAAUUUAUAUAUAUUACUGUGUGUCCUGAAAGGAUGCCACUCGCAAAAUCAGUCCACACAGUCCAGGCCAUGGAAUGGCAGUGUUGCACAAAGUCUUACACAUGAGAUAGUCCUGAGCAAAGACAACACAGAGUAUGUUCUUCCUUAAGAAGCAGUUUUGAUGUUAUUACCCUGAAUAUCAUCAGGACAUGUGUUGUUUUGUGGGGAACUGAUGGAAUGAGGACAAUGGAGUGGAAGGUCACCUAGUGUUUCGUGGCUUGGGGCCAAUGCAUAGAUCUUCUUUUGCAUAUGCUCAUCAGGUAAAACCUCCUUUUUGGAAUUUUCAGGCACUUAUUUGCAUCUAAUGGUGCUAAAAAGUCAAGUUUACAACUUUCCAAUCUCCUGUGUGGAAUACCACUCAUUUGAGAUAGUGAGGAAAAUAGGAGUAAAGCUGGUGGGGGCAGAGUUGGCCAUUGGGAAGGCAUAGAAAUAUUAGGCCACUAGAAGCAUGAAUAAAUGGGUCUUCAACUUCUUCAGAAGCAGCAUAGCACAUUGGAAAAAGCAGGGGCAGUGGUAUCAGAUUGACCUGGGUUCUACUUGCAACUCAGCCACACAUCAGCUGUGUCCACAGGCAAGUUGCUAGCCUUGGUUUCCUUAUCUGUAUAAUGGAGAUGAUAAUAUCUACUCUCAUAACUUUGGUGUCAAAAUUUAAUCAGAUAACAUAUGAAAACACUAGGAUGGGAACUAGGUCUCAGGUAGGUGCCAAAUACGUAUCGGUUUUCCUCCCCUCUUUUUAUCCUUUUCCUGCUCAGCCACCCUGAAAAUGACUAUCGGCUUCCCCGUCUUCCUUCACUACAGCAGCAGAAACUCAGUUACUGUUCUAAUCUGCCCUCUUUCUGCUUUGCCGAGCAGGUUGUGAAUAUCUGAGUGUGGGACUGGAACUUGACCAGACCCUCCACCCUCAUAACUCCAUCAGUGGGACACCAUCUCUUUCUUAGAUGAUGCUGGAUGCCAGAAGAUGAGGAGACUGGAGGCACCAGGAAGAAAUCUCAUUUUAAUCUAUUUUAAUUAAAGUACUAAAAGUGGAGAUGUGGAAGUUUUCCUUUCAUUCCCUGCCCCCACACAUCAGCCCUUGGGAGCUCUUUUGCUUGUUAUUACCCAGUGAAUGUGCACACCACCAUUGCUCCCAUCAUUCAUUCCUUCUUACGUGGAAUUUCCUUUUCAGUGGUGGACAAGCCACUUAGCAUACUGGGGAGAGAACUGAAAGAGGAGUGGGAAGUAUUGGUUUCAAAGUUUUAAUCAUGACAUUUUUAUCAAACUUUCACCUAGUGUCAGAGUCUUUGGUAGAUGCAAAGAAAACAGAGAAAUAAUACGUGGUUUCUGCCCAGAGGGAGAUAAUAUUCAUGAAGGAGAGUGUAGCUCUAGGAUCUUGGAACCUGACACCAAAGUGAUGUGAAGAUGGAGGCCAGGGCUCCAGGGUGUGAGCAAGUCGGCAGAGGAGCUAGGAGCCUAGGAUGCCCUCCAGAAGCACCCAGCAUGGUGGUGAAGCACUUGGGCUUGGAGUCAGAAAGACCAGAAUACUGUAAUCCAGACUCCACCACCUACUAAUUGUGAUCUUGGGCAUAUUGCUUACCUUGCUGAGUCUUGAUUUCUUCCUACUUCUAAUGGAAAUUUUAAUGUCAUGCCCCUCACUGGGCUCUUUAAAAGAUGAAAUGAGAUAAAUGGCAAGUGCACAGCACAGUGUCUGACAAAAAGUACCGAUGAACCACAAAUGUUCCGUCAUCAUUGUUGCCACCAUCGUUGUCUUCGAGAGACUGGGAAGAGUUAGACUACAGGCUGAGGGAGUAAUAAAGGAAGGACAAGAAAGACAAUAUCAGGAGCCUCACCUGCAGCAUCUCUGCUCUCAGAGUGCCCCUUCUGAAACCAGUAAUGCCAAAGGAAAGUAUUAAGAGUAGAAGAAGAGAGAUGUAAAGGAUGAAUGAAAUAUUGAUUUUAUCCUUAUGGAGACUCAGCUGAUUUUGAUGCUUCUGACAUUAGUUUGCUGACCGGAUUUGGACUCGAAUAUCUUGUGUUCCUGACUCCGGCUUGAAAACUGAGUUCAGAACUCUUACUGUUCCCACUUAAACCAUUUACUUCUAGUACCAAUCUGUAUCAUUUUCAAUCAUAUCCUAGUAAUCUGACAUAGACUGAUAAACUUAGUUGAGUUGAUUUCAGUUCUCCUGACCCUGGACUCUAUCUUGAUUCAAAUUAGGCCAGCCACAGUGAUUAACCUGGAGAAGUCAAUUCUCCUUUCUUGAAACUUGGAUUUGUGUUAGUUCCCUAAGCAAUGAUAUGAAACAACUUAUGUUGACUGAAGAGAGAUCAAACAGUAAAGCGAGUCAUAGCAAAAGUGCACUUUGUGCCCCAUCCACUGCUUCCAAAGUUUGAUCAAUUCUAAAUUAUGUAGGAUGAAAGCCUCCGAUAGAUUAUAGUAAUGACAGCUUAUCCAUUUCUAAUGGGUUCCAGGUGCCUCCUCCAUGCCUCAUUAAUAGGAUAUACUUCAAUAUUCCAAAGUCAUAGUUCCCAGGAGGAACCCCAAUCAGAGGAAUCAGCUGCAUUCUGACGUCUGGAUGGGAUUGAAAUGUUUGUACUUGAAUAACAUAGUUGCUGCAACACAUGCACACAGUCACUUAUAGGCAUGUCAAGACAAGAAAAGGCAUAGAGGAAGAUAGUUUAUGCUAUUGAGUGCCUACUGUGUGCAAGGCACUGAAUUACAUGUAUUUGGGGAGGGUACAUGGAGAGGGUAAGCAAAGAAGAGCAAGGCGCUGUCCCUGUCUUGAAAGACCUCAGCGUCUAAUGUGAAAGAAGGAUAUACAGAUGCUUAUAAAAGAAGGUGGUAAAAUUUAGCCAUAGAGAUAUGAAUAGGGAUGACUAAGGAGGAGAGAUGGAGACUUUCUGGAGGAGGUGACACAUGAGCUUGGUAGGAGGAGUAGGAGUUUGUCAGUCAAAGGUUGAUGACUGAUUGGGGUGGAGGUGUCAUGCAGCUUUUAGACACAUGGCUUAGCUUCAGCAAAGACAUGAAAUUUAGUAUAUAUACUAAUUUACAUGCAUAUAUACAUUAAUGUAUACAUAUUAAUAUGCUGCAUAUUUAUAGCAAUAAUAUGUUCAGGAUUUUUGUGGGGG